rnacentral:sRNA from 1 species
GUUCGGGAUACACCUCACCUACCAUAUUAUCCAACCGUUCCACUCCUAACUAGAGAAAAGAAAGCUUGUCUACAUAGACUUGUACACGAAUCUUCAGAACAGCUUAAUUUGUAGCAGCUCCAUAUUGGAAACAAUUCAGAUGUCUAUCAACAGGCAAAUGGAUUAACAAUGGAAUAGGAUUCCAGGAUGAAGACAGAAUUAUUGAUACAUACGACACAGAUGAAUCUCAGAAGUCCAGACCUGGCCGGCAUGGUGGCUCAUGCCUGUCAUCCCAGCACUUUGGGAGGCCAAGGCGGGCGGAUCAUGAGGUCAGGAGUUCAAGACCAGUCUGGCCAACACGGUGAAACCCCAUCUCUACUAAAAAUUCAAAAAUUAGCUGGGCAUCGUGGCACGCGCCUGUAAUCCCAGCUACUUGGGAGGCUGAGGCAGAAUUGUUUGAACAAUUCUGGGAGGCGGAGGUUGCAGUGAGCUGAGAUUGUGUCCAGCCUGGGCUAGAGCGAGACUCCUCUCAAAAAAACAAAAAAGGCCAGAACCCACCUCAAUGUCCACACACUGAAAAUCCUAAAAAAUACAAACCAAUAAAGCAACUGAAAGACCACUGACUGCCUGGACAGGAAAAUAUUUUAAUGGGGGCAGUGAUACUUAAGAGGGGGAUGUUUGGGGUCUAGAUUGUAAUGGCUUUGCCCAAAGUCACCAAAUUUAAGUGUGUAUCGUUUGUCAGUUAUGCCUCAAAGCCAUUUUAAAAUGACUAUCACAUAUGGGGUAUGUUGCUUUAAAUUAGCCUAGGGCCUUCUUAAGCUCCAGAAUUCCUGGGCUUUGCUUUUAGACAUUUCUACCUUUUAAUUAGGAGAGGUAAGCUAACAGCUAGGACAUGUUUCACAACAGCCUGAAGACUUAAAAAAAAAAGCCUUAAUUUCUUUUUUCAGGUGCCACACCUCCCUGGAUGAUCCAAGAUGAAUACACUGCUGGGAACCAAGAAAUAGGACCAUCCUAUGAAGAAUUUCUUAAAGAAAAGGAAAAACAGAAGUUGAAAAAACUCCCCCCAGACCGAGUUGGGGCCAACUUUGAUCACAGCUCCAGGACCAGUGCAGGCUGGCUGCCCUCUUUUGGCCGCGUCUGGAAUAAUGGACGCCGC